rnacentral:lncRNA from 1 species
UUUUUUUUUUUUUUUUUUUAAAGUGAUAAUAUCUUCUAUCUUGUUCUUAUUCUAAUCAAGUACAUUAUUCAAUAGAAGGCAUAUCGUAUAUUGGUACAUUAUUCAAGCAGCCCCCUCUGCAUCUAAUGGCUUCUGAUUAUGCUAACAACUAAGUAAGCAUCAUCUAUCUUCUCUCACAAAAUUCAGAAUGGCAAAGAGAAGCAUUUUUCAUCUAUAACAGAAUAGAAGAUGCUGUAGGUAACAACUAAGUCAAACUUCUAUCUUCCCCACUCACAGAUAACUACACAUGACGAAAUCUAAAUAUUCCAGCGUGCUUGUCACCUCAUUCUAGAGAAAGGGAGCAGAAAGCCCAGAAGUGUGCCUGCAAUGUGUAUUAGUAGCUCAGAAAAAUCCCCGUGGGGAAAAACCCUCAGGUAAAGAAGAUACAAGGGAAUUGAAGUUUAAUAGUUUAACCAUAGCUGCUCUUCAACCAGAACAAGCGGACUGAGAGCUGCUAUGCCCUUCGGUCUUUGGCUGGAGGGCAUCCUUUGCCUUCCAAAGGCUGUAUCACUAGUUCAUGACUUGUAAAUGGUUAAUAAAUGUGUGACAAAAACUCAGAAGUUAAUGGCCCUAAUACAAAACUGAUGUUAUUUUGGACCUUAAUUGUGCUCGUCGCUUGCAAACUUUGGGCACCAAAAUCAACCCAAAAAUACUUUGGGUACGUUUGGUUCUAUAGAAUUAGAAUUGAAUUAGAAUCAAAAUUCUAUAAAAUUGGAAUUCUAUGAAUUGGAAUUCCAAGUCAUUUCAAUUCUUUCGUUUGGGAAAUGCAUAGAAUUGAUACGGAAUUUAUUUGAAAUUCCAAAUUCUUUGUUUGCAUGAGAGAAGAAUUCAUUAGGAAUUAGAAUUGUUUUCAAGAAAAUUGCUUACAUAAAAUUUUUCUUUUUUUUUUUUCUAUAUAAUAAUUUCUUUUUUUCUAACAUUUAGCUAAUUUUUACUAAAGAUUUAAAAGAAAAAAUCAAUUUGUGCCUUUAAUAAUUUAUUUUUUCUCACUCUCAUAUCAAUUUCUUUGGUGAGCAUUUCCUUUAGCAUGUUUUGAUCCAUUAUCCCUUUUUGUGAAGAAAUAUUUCCCCAUCUCAGCCGUGGUAUUUUCAACUGUGUUUUGAUAUAUAUUUAAUAAAGCAAAAUUCUUUCUUAUUUCUAAUACUUAUGCAAAAUUCAAAAAAGAUUUCAUCCAUCAUAAUAGCUAUGCACAACUAAAACUCAAACUCCUCCAUUAAGUACCAAUGGCAUGAUAAAACUAUGAGAGAGGAAAAGUUUGAAGCAAUUUUUCACUCAUGUGACAAUAACUACAAAAUCAAGAAGCAAAAUUUCAUGAAAGAAAAAGAUAAGAAAACAAUCAGUUACAAAUAAAUCCUUCAUAUGUAACAAAAACUCUUGAUCAAAUGCUUCAACUGUAUAAACCCAGUUUUGGGAUGUUUCAUUCCACUAGUAUUGAAAGGUGAC